AGGCACGAAACGGAGCUGAACAAUUUGUGAUGCAAUAGUAUAUGCAACCAUAAGAUGAGUGGUAUGAAUUACCAAUGGAUAUUCGGUACUCAGACACUCGUUUAGGCAUCUUAAAUGGCACCAACAAUGACAAGGGCGUAAACCUACGCUCACUACGUCAAGCAUGUUUUCGAAGUGUGUCGAACAGAAAGGUCAGAAUGGCGCACAGGCGUCUCGAUCCAUACGGAAUGUCGCUUGUUUCGAGGACGUCACAUGAUGAUUGCAUGCGCUGGGGAGGUCAAAGAACGAGUGACCAAAAACAAAAAGAAGAAAAGGCGUCGUGAGUCAUGAUGCUGCUUCGGCGACUGCUGCUGCGACCCAGACGAGAGACCUGCUCGGUGGGUAGCUGGGAAAAUUUCAGAUAUUUGAGGAGCUGCCCGAGGUGAGGCUCAAGGCGACGAUGCGGUACUUGUUAGGGGUGGUGGUAGACAGGCACCUGGAUGGAUGCGGUUGAAAGUAGCGUCCAAGCGCAGCAGAGCCAGAACUGGUCUCUGGUAUGCAGAAGCCCUCGUCACCGAACCUCACACCCACAUAACCCUGGGAGGCAGGACCCAAAUUGUUGCAGUAUCUGGAAAUUUCGGGUGCCCCAUCAUUAACCAGCCGGAAUCCUUUCGCGAGCAGGAAUAGUGUGAUCUCUGCGUUACCUCAACUUUAUUUAUUUAUUUAUUUUUGCCCCUCCCCUUUGACGACAAUCGACUGGGGGUGCAGCUCGCAUGCCUCUCUCGAAUCACCCCCUGACAUGAGUCGCGGCAUGGCCAAUUAGUGUUAACGGUCUUUCGCUC
rnacentral:lncRNA from 1 species